rnacentral:rRNA from 1 species
GACAGAGGAUGCAAGCGUUAUCCGGAAUCAUUGGGUUUAAAGGGUCCGUAGGCGGUUUAGUAAGUCAGUGGUGAAAGCCCAUCGCUCAACGGUGGAACGGCCAUUGAUACUGCUAAACUUGAAUUAUUGGGAAGUAACUAGAAUAUGUAGUGUAGCGGUGAAAUGCUUAGAGAUUACAUGGAAUACCAAUUGCGAAGGCAGGUUACUACCAAUAUAUUGACGCUGAUGGACGAAAGCGUGGGGAGCGAACAGG